GACGAACGCUGGCGGCGUGCUUAACACAUGCAAGUCGAACGGAAAGGCCCUGCUUUUGUGGGGUGCUCGAGUGGCGAACGGGUGAGUAACACGUGAGUAACCUGCCCUUGUCUUUGGGGUAACUUCACGAAACUGGGGCUAAUACCGGAUAGGAGCUCCCGCUGCAUGGAGAGCGUUGGAAAGUUUCGGCGGUCGGGGAUGGACGCGCGGCUUAUCAGCUUGUUGGUGGGGUAGUGGCUUACCAAGGCUUGGACUGGUAGCCGGCCUGUGAGGGUGACCGGCCACAUGGGUACUGCGAUACGGCGCAGACGCCUACGGGAGGCAGCAGGGGGGAACAUUGCACAGUGGGCGGAAGCCUGAGGCAGCAACGCCGCGUGCGUGAUGACGGCCUGUGGGUUGUAAACCGCUUUCGCCUGUGACGAAGCGUGAGUGACGGUAAUGGGUAAAGAAGCACCGGCUAACUACGUG
rnacentral:rRNA from 1 species